CUAGGAUGAACGCUAGCUACAGGCUUAACACAUGCAAGUCGAGGGGCAGCAUUAUCGAAGCUUGCUUGAUAGAUGGCGACCGGCGCACGGGUGAGUAACGCGUAUCCAACCUUCCCAUCACCCAGGGAUAGCCCGCCGAAAGGCGAAUUAAUACCUGAUGGUCUCCUUCGCGGACAUCUAACGAGGAGUAAAGAUUUAUUGGUGAUGGAUGGGGAUGCGUCUGAUUAGGUAGUAGGCGGGGUAACGGCCCACCUAGCCGACGAUCAGUAGGGGUUCUGAGAGGAAGGUCCCCCACAUUGGAACUGAGACACGGUCCAAACUCCUACGGGAGGCAGCAGUGAGGAAUAUUGGUCAAUGGACGGAAGUCUGAACCAGCCAAGUAGCGUGCAGGAUGACGGCCCUAUGGGUUGUAAACUGCUUUUGUGCGGGAAUAAAGUUUGGGACGUGUCCCAUUUUGCAUGUACCGCACGAAUAAGGACCGGCUAAUUCCGUGCCAGCAGCGGC
rnacentral:rRNA from 1 species